rnacentral:rRNA from 1 species
CUAACAUAGGCCAUGGAUGACGGUACCGGACUAAGAAGCACCGGCUAACUACGUGCCAGCAGCCGCGGUAAUACGUAGGGUGCGAGCGUUAAUCGGAAUUACUGGGCGUAAAGCGUGCGCAGGCGGUUUUGUAAGACAGAUGUGAAAUCCCCCGGGCUUAACCUGGGAACUGCGUUUGUGACUGCAAGGCUAGAGUACGGCAGAGGGGGGUGGAAUUCCUGGUGUAGCAGUGAAAUGCGUAGAGAUCAGGAGGAACACCGAUGGCGAAGGCAGCCCCCUGGGCCUGUACUGACGCUCAUGCACGAAAGCGUGGGGAGCAAAACAGGAUUAGAUACCCUGGUAGUCCACGCCCUAAACGAUGUCGACUAGUCGUUCGGAGCAGCAAUGCACUGAGUGACGCAGCUAACGCGUGAAGUCGACCGCCUGGGGAGUACGGCCGCAAGGUUAAAACUCAAAAGGAAUUGAC